rnacentral:rRNA from 1 species
GAUGAACGCUGGCGGCGUGCCUAAUACAUGCAAGUCGAGCGAACGGACGAGAAGCUUGCUUCUCUGAUGUUAGCGGCGGACGGGUGAGUAACACGUGGAUAACCUACCUAUAAGACUGGGAUAACUUCGGGAAACCGGAGCUAAUACCGGAUAAUAUUUUGAACCGCAUGGUUCAAAAGUGAAAGACGGUCUUGCUGUCACUUAUAGAUGGAUCCGCGCUGCAUUAGCUAGUUGGUAAGGUAACGGCUUAUCAAGGCAACGAUGCAUAGCCGACCUGAGAGGGUGAUCGGCCACACUGGAACUGAGACACGGUCCAGACUCCUACGGGAGGCAGCAGUAGGGAAUCUUCCGCAAUGGGCGAAAGCCUGACGGAGCAACGCCGCGUGAGUGAUGAAGGUCUUCGGAUCGUAAAACUCUGUUAUUAGGGAAGAACAUAUGUGUAAGUAACUGUGCACAUCUUGACGUUACCUAAUCAGAAAGCCACGGCUAACUACGUG